rnacentral:lncRNA from 1 species
UCACGGCCAGCUCGAUAUUGGGCCUAGAGGGUCACACACAUAUGGUAGGCAUUGGGAUGAGUAGAGGUUCGGAUAUGAGAUAUCCGAUGGAGCCCUUGUCUUAUUGGAUGCAGAUCCAAUACCCACUAGAGAAGGACCCAUUAGGGUUUGACACGGGAUCUCUAUAAAUAGGAGGGAUUCACAGCCUCAUAGGCUAGAGUCUUUGCUUG